rnacentral:rRNA from 1 species
UACGUAGGGGGCAAGCGUUGUCCGGAUUUAUUGGGCGUAAAGAGCGUGUAGGCGGCUUGGUAGGUCCGCUGUGAAAACUCGAGGCUCAACCUCGAGAUGUCGGCGGAAACCACUUGGCUAGAGUCCGGAGGAGGAGAGUGGAAUUCCUGGUGUAGCAGUGAAAUGCGUAGAUAUCAGGAGGAAUACCGAUGGCGAAGGCAGGUCUCUGGGCUGACACUGACGCUCAUGCACGAAAGCGUGGGGAGCAAACAGG